UUAUGCUUGAGUUACAAUAACUUCUCUUGCUGUGGCAAGAUAUCAAAUUUUGUCAUGGCGCCAUGGAAACGCCCUUUAACAAAAACUCAAGAUCUCCAAAAGUUAACAUUGCACAGGCCUUUAGAUUAGACUGACCACAAAAUAUAUGUUAAUCUCAAAAAAAUUAUAGGAGUAGUUUGUCGCAGCGUAAAACAUGUCACUUCCUGUUGCCAAUAGGUGGCGCUAUGACUAUAACUGAAUGUGGGCAUGUAGAUCUGUUAAGGGCAGAAGUUUUAUCUAACAUGUGAAGUUUGGGGCAGAUUGGACAUUGUAUGUCUGAGUUACAGCAACUUCCUUUUUCAUGGCGAAACAUCGAAAUUUGUCAGGCCGCCAUGGACACGCCCUUUAACGAAAUCUAAAGAUCUUCGCAAUUUAACAUCGCAAAGGGCUUAAGAUUACACUGACCAGGUUUGGUGUUGAUCUGACUAAAUCUCUAGGAGGAGUUCGUUAAAGUACAACCCCUGAAAAUGGCAAAAACAACGCCAAUUUUGCAGAGAAAAUUCUAAAUAACCGACUUCCUGUUGGGAUUCGGAUUUCGUACCAAGAUACUUUUUUGUAGGUAUUGGUGUGUUACAUAUGUAUACCGAUUUUUGUACAUGUACGUGAAACAUAGCUCGAGGCGCAUUCUGUUGAAAGUGUAUAGGUGGCGCUAUCGAGCCAUUUUGCCACACCUGAUGGAAUUUUGGCCUUCAGAUGUGUUCAGGCCAGGACUCUUAUCACACAUGUGCAGUUUGGGGAAGAUCGGACAUUUUAUGCCUGAGUUAUAACAUAUUUUAUUCCCAUGGCGAGACAUCGAACUUCGUGACGGCGCCAUGGACACGCCUUUUAACGAAAACUCAAGAUCUUCACAACUUAACAUCGCACAGGCCUUUAGAUUAGACUGACCACAAAAAAUACAUUGAUGUCAUAAAAUUUCUAGGAGUAGUUCAUCGCAGUGUAAAAUAUGUCACUUCCUGUUGCCAAUAGGUGGCGCUAUGACUAUAACUGAAUAUGGGCAUGUCAAUCUGUUCAGGUCAGGAGUCUCAUCAAACAUGUGAAGUUUGGGGCAGAUUGGUCAUUGUAUGUCUGAGUUAUAGCAACUUCCUGUUUCAUGGCGAAUCAUCGAAAUUCGCCAGGCCGCCACGGACACGCCCAUUAACGAAAACUCAAAAGCUUCGCAAUUUAACAUCGCAAAGGCCUUCAGAUUAGGCAUACCAAAUUUGGUGUUGAUCUGAAUGAAUCUCUAGGAGGAGUUCGUUAAAAUACAACGCAUGGAAAUGACAAAAAUGACACAAAAUUUGCUCAUAAUAUUAGUAAUAACCGACUUCCUGUUGGGUUUCGGAUUUUGCUCCAAGAGACUUUUUUGUAGGUAUUGGAGAGUUACAUGAGUAUACCGAUUUUCAUACAUGUACAUGAAACGUAGCUCGAGGCGCACACCGUUGAACGUGUAUAGGUGGCGCUGUUGAACCAUUUUGCCACACCCACUUCUGAAACCCAUAUCAGACGUAAAUUUUCGCCAGUUCUGAGGUGUGUGCAAAGUUUCAUGACUUUUCGAGCAUGUUUAGGCCCUCAAAAAUGCGAUUCAUUUUGGAGAAGAAGAAUAAUAAUAAUAAUAAUAAUAAUAAUAAUAAUAAUAAACGGAGCAAUUCCAAGAGGGUCCUCACACCAUCGGUGCUCGGGCCCUAAUAAUUAAAGCUGCAAGCAGCGAUGAACGGGCCCUCGCACCCGGGCUCACCGCCAUCGUGUGGCUUUAGUAAAAAGGUGAACGUUGAGAAAUAUGCAUUUAAUGUCCUAAAUAUAAGUGGAAUAUAUCAAAGUAUAUCCCAUAUAUGUGCCAAUCUUACCGUUGCCAGCAGGUGGCGCUAUCAUUAUAAUGGAAUAUUGGCCUUCAGAUGUGUUCAGGCCAGGACUCUUAUCAAACAUGUGAAGUUUGGGGAAGACUGAACAUUUUAUGCUUGAGUUACAACAACUUCUCUUGCUGUGGCAAGACAUCAAAUUUUGUCAUGGCGCCAUGGAAACGCCCUUGCUGUGGCAAGACAUCAAAUUUUGUCAUGGCGCCAUGGAAACGCCCUUUAACAAAAACUCAAGAUCUCCAAAAGUUAACAUUGCACAGGCAUUUAGAUUAGACUGACCACAAAAUAUAUGUUAAUCUCAAAAAAAUUAUAGGAGUAGUUUGUCGCAGUGUAAAACAUGUCACUUCCUGUUGCCAAUAGGUGGCGCUAUGACUAUAACUGAAUGUGGGCAUGUAGAUCUGUUAAGGGCAGAAGUUUUAUCUAACAUGUGAAGUUUGGGGCAGAUUGGACAUUGUAUGUCUGAGUUACAGCAACUUCCUUUUUCAUGGCGAAACAUCGAAAUUUGUCAGGCCACCAUGGACACGCCCUUUAACGAAAUCUAAAGAUCUUCGCAAUUUAACAUCGCAAAGGGCUUAAAAUUACA